rnacentral:tRNA from 1 species
GGGCUCGUAGCUCAAUUGGCUAGAGCACCCGGUUUGCAUCCGGGAGGUUGCGGGUUCGAGCCCCGCCGAGUCCA